rnacentral:tRNA from 1 species
AGAGUUUUAGGUUAAAGAUAAACUAAUCGUUUUCAAAACGAUAGAUAUUUUUGGAGAAGAUAAACUCUG